GAUUAACGCUAGCGGCAGGCCUAAUACAUGCAAGUUGAACGGGAUUUCGGGUAGCAAUAUCUGGAUGAGAGUAGCGCACGGGUGCGUAACACGUAUGCAACCUACCUAUAACUGGGGGAUAGCCUCCCGAAAGGGAGAUUAAUACCGCAUAACAUUAUGAAGUGGCAUCACUUUAUAAUUAAACCUCAGGGGGUUAUAGAUGGGCAUGCGUCCGAUUAGCUAGUUGGUGAGGUAACGGCUCACCAAGGCUCCGAUCGGUAGGGGGUCUGAGAGGAUGAUCCCCCACACUGGUACUGAGACACGGACCAGACUCCUACGGGAGGCAGCAGUAAGGAAUAUUGGACAAUGGGCGCAAGCCUGAUCCAGCCAUGCCGCGUGAAGGAUGAAGGCCCUAUGGGUCGUAAACUUCUUUUAUACGGGACAAAACCCCCCGACGUGUCGGGGGUUGAUGGUACUGUAAGAAUAAGGGUCGGCUAACCUCGUG
rnacentral:rRNA from 1 species